rnacentral:rRNA from 1 species
CAGUAGCCGCGGUAAUACGUAGGGUGCAAGCGUUAAUCGGAAUUACUGGGCGUAAAGCGUGCGCAGGCGGUUAUAUAAGUUAGAUGUGAAAUCCCAGGGCUCAACCUGGGACCUGCAUUUGUGACUGUAUAGCUAGAGUACGGUAGAGGGGGAUGGAAUUCCGCAUGUAGCAGUGAAAUGCGUAGAUAUGCGGAGGAACACCGAUGGCGAAGGCAAUCCCCUGGACCUGUACUGACGCUCAUGCACGAAAGCGUGGGGAGCAAACAGGAUUAGAUACCCCUGUAGUCCCUGUCUCUUAUAC